GAAUCGGCCCUUCUGAGGGCCACCUAAUUUAUUUUACUUAAGAGGG
rfam:Glossina austeni, whole genome shotgun sequence.